rnacentral:rRNA from 1 species
AGUGAACGCUGGCGGUAGGCCUAACACAUGCAAGUCGAACGGCAGCACAGUAAGAGCUUGCUCUUACGGGUGGCGAGUGUCGGACGGGUGAGGAAUACAUCGGAAUCUACUUUUUCGUGGGGGAUAACGUAGGGAAACUUACUCUAAUACAGCAUACGUCCUACGGGGGAAAGCAGGCGAUCUUCUGACCUGGUGCUAGUGUAUGAGCCUAUGUCGGAUUAGCUAGUUGGCGGGGUAAAGGCCCACCAAGGCGACGCUGCGUAGCUGAUCUGGGAGGAGGAUCAGCCAAACUGGAACUGGGACACGGUCCAGACUCCUACGGGAGGCAGCAGUGGGGAAUAUUGGACAAUGGGAGCAAGCCUGAUCAAGGCAUACCGCGUGAGUGAAGAAGGCAGUAGGGUUGUAAAGCCCUUUUGUUGGGAAAGAAAAGAAGCCGGUUUAUCCCGCGCUGUUCUGACGGUACCCAAAGGAUAAGGCCCCGCUAACUUCGUG